rnacentral:rRNA from 1 species
UGUACUACUCGUGAAUCAUCGAAUCUUUGAACGCAUCUUGCUACUUUUAGGUCUCCUAGAAAGUAUACUUGUUUGAGUAUCAUUAACACAUCCUCCAGGCUUCGCGCCCGGGAAUUGCGACGUUAAGCUGCGCAAGCGGCCUAUGUCGCCAAAGUGAUGAGCAGAGUGUUGUGGCACCUCGUGUGUCGCAGGCCUCCUCGCCGCACCAAAUGUGAGAUAAACAUCGCACAGAGUAGUGUACGGAGAAGGUUGAGCUAGGCUACGCCCAGAGGCGCGCCCGCCAUGCUUGCAUGUGCAGUGUCGCGCUUCACCCCAUUAAUGACGCAGUGAUCUCAAAUCAAGUAAGACUACCCGCUGAACUUAAGCAUAUCAAUAAGCGGAGG